rnacentral:tRNA from 1 species
GGGGGUUUAGCUCAGUUGGUAGAGCGCCUGCUUUGCAAGUAGGAAGCCAGCGGUUCAAAUCCGCUAACCUCCA